rnacentral:rRNA from 1 species
GAUGAACGCUAGCGACAGGCCUAACACAUGCAAGUCGAGGGGCAGCACAUGAGUAGCAAUACGAUGGUGGCGACCGGCGCACGGGUGAGUAACACGUAUGCAACCUGCCUUCUACUAUGGGAUAACCCGUUGAAAGACGGACUAUACCGUAUAAUACAGGGGCUCCGCAUGGAGAUAUUUGUUAAAGAUUUAUUGGUAGAAGAUGGGCAUGCGUAUGAUUAGAUAGUUGGUGAGGUAACGGCUCACCAAGUCAACGAUCAUUAGGGGUUCUGAGAGGAAGGUCCCCCACAAUGGUACUGAGACACGGACCAGACUCCUACGGGAGGCAGCAGUGAGGAAUAUUGGUCAAUGGACGAGAGUCUGAACCAGCCAAGUCGCGUGAAGGAAGACGGUUCUAUGAAUUGUAAACUUCUUUUGUGCAGGAAUAAAGUGGGUUACGUGUAACCUUUUGUAUGUACUGUACGAAUAAGGAUCGGCUAACUCCGUGCCAGCCGCCGCCGUAAAAC